UUCAUCGAUUUAACCAGGUUUUACGCUCCGCGCUUUGUUGACGUGCGUGGUCGAAUCGUGUUGUGUACGUGAGUGGCGUGUAACUGGUGAUACAGUAAGCAAGGACAAUCAUUAACGUGCGCGAUCCGCCGCAAAUCAGCCACGAGGCAUUGCAACGGGCACGUUCAGUGGGCUGCGCGGCCGUUGCAACGAGCUGCAUUGCUGAUUCUUCGCUUGCCUGAGACUGGCAAUUGUCGAGCGGGUUACAUCCGUUGUUACGUUGGCCGAAGACAGCAGUAAAAGUGAUCUGCAGAUAGCACGAAUGCCAGCAGUCGUGCAAAGUAGGAGUCCAAAGGGGGACAUGGUUGGUGUGGGUGAAAGCAACGUGUCAUUGUGGUUAAAAAAGAUGAAUCAGUAUACAUGUGAUAUAACUGUCAAAGCCGGAAUGUUGAAAGGUACGUAGACAGCACAAAUUUUUGUUCUUUUUUUUCCGCCAUAUUCAAUGUGUUGCGUUGGAACUGUUUACAGCAUACAUCCCGCCCAAGGCAUGCUGGGAGGAUCUCCUAUCAGGCAGCUUGGAAACUUCCAGACGCCGAUAUGCCUUACGUUUGGUGCAGCCGAGGUUAUGAACUUUCAAGUGGAAUAUGCCCCUUGAGGAAAACAAUUAUGACCCACUGUCCAGCAAGGAGGUUGCAGAAUCAGCAACUGACAUACUGACUGAUGAAACAUGAUGGUGCGUGCAGCAAGAGAGGGUUUGACUGCAGAUCCCGACCACCUGCUUCUGUAAAUUUGUACUAACCACAGUCGAAAACAAGGAGAAACGUUUGAAUACCGGCGGCCUUCUAUCAGCUAGACAAGUCCCUGAAGCUAUAAAUCAAUAAACUUAUGUGUAUUGAUGACUGUCACGCUAACUUUGACGUAUUCUGCUUUGGAGGUAUAAAGCAAUGAAAUGUGGAUUCUUUUCGAUUAGUGCAUGUUUUUUUUUUUUCUUCAGAAAAUUUCUUGUGAGCUCGCAAAACCCGAGCGACAAAAGUAAAGGACUGACAAUCCCCCUCUUUUUGGCUGCCCUCUGGGUUUCAUCUGUCCUGCUUAUGUGCAAAGUGCCAGCAGUUAUGGUAUGCCGCACACAUUAGUGUACUUAAGAAGUAGCACGACGCUAAUCACGUAUUAUUUGCAGGGGGAUCCACUCAGUAUGACCGCUCUACCCGUGGUCCACCGACCCAGGUGUCGCCUAACAAAGGGUAUGUGCCUCUUUUUUCUUUCGAUCUUCUUUCUGCGACUCAUUUCGGACUACUCGCUACGCGCAUGAUCGGCCCAGCCAAGUGUCGUCUAGCAAGAGAAGCGUGGCUCUUCCUUUAGUGCUUCUUUCUGUGCACGCCUAAUCUUUCGUACUUCUUUCUGCGGCUUUAUCAUGCAGCGUACAAAUAUGUACACAGAGUGAUGAGAACUUUCACGGAGGUGUCAUAUGGCCUGCCCUUUCCUGAAUACACACGCUGGAGCUUUGCAAUAAUUCUGGUACAUGCAUGUCUGCUUAGAGCACGACAAUUUCGGUGUCCGUGGCAAGAGAUGUACGCUUCCCUAAUCGCAAGAAAAAACACAAAACAAUUUCCUUUGGAGUUGGCUUAGAGCUUGCAUGCAUUAUAACGUCACACCUUCGCCCACAAGCAUCGCGUCGUUCAAAUGCGGUCUGCCACUAAAACGAUAAUUAAGAAGAGCAGGUGAUUGACAGAUAUUCUUAAUCAUGAGUUGUGCCAUGUGUAUCAGACAAGUAUCCUCUCUUGAUCCAAUUACGUAGAUGCUUAAGCAUUACAAUUUGCAUCUCUCGAGAAAACCGCGUUCCGGCUCUUGAUAUGCGCUCUUGGUAUUAUUGUAUGUUUUGCGUAUGCAUACAUUUACAUUUACUGCGUGUUUUUCUGAUAAUAUCAUUCAGCAUUCGUAUAUAAUAUGCACAAACGUACCAGCCAGCUACUUAUUACGCGAUGAUUUCAGACAUUUCUUUGGGUUUUGCGAGAAGUACGUAAAACUGACUUAACGUGGCGUAUGGCGAGUGGUCUGUAUAUCAAUUUUAAAUAUACUCUACGCCGUGAGGAGCAGUGUUAAUUCUCCGCGCAC